AGUGAACGCUGGCGGCAGGCCUAACACAUGCAAGUCGAACGGCAGCACAAGAGAGCUUGCUCUCUGGGUGGCGAGUGGCGGACGGGUGAGGAAUGCAUCGGAAUCUGCCCAUUUGUGGGGGAUAACCUCGGGAAACCGGGACUAAUACCGCAUACAACCUACGGGUGAAAGCAGGGGAUCUUCGGACCUUGCGCAGAUGGAUGAGCCGAUGCCGGAUUAGCUAGUUGGAGGGGUAAAGGCCCACCAAGGCGACGAUCCGUAGCUGGUCUGAGAGGAUGAUCAGCCACACUGGGACUGAGACACGGCCCAGACUCCUACGGGAGGCAGCAGUGGGGAAUAUUGGACAAAGGGCGCAAGCCUGAUCCAGCCAUGCCGCGUGUGUGAAGAAGGCCUUCGGGUUGUAAAGCACUUUUGUUGGGAAAGAAAAGCAGCCGGUUAAUACCCGGUUGUCAUGACGGUACCCAAAGAAUAAGCACCGGCUAACUUCGUG
rnacentral:rRNA from 1 species